UGGGGAAUCUUCCGCAAUGGGCGAAAGCCUGACGGAGCAAUGCCGCGUGAGUGAAGAAGGUCUUCGGAUCGUAAAGCUCUGUUGAGAGGGACGAGAGAUUACUUCAGGAAAUGGGAGUAAGAGGACGGUACCUUUCGAGGAAGCCACGGCUAACUACGUGCCAGCAGCCGCGGUAAUACGUAGGGGCAAGCGUUAUCCGGAUUUACUGGGUGUAAAGGGAGCGCAGGCGGUCCUGCAAGUCUGAUGUGAAAGCCCGGGGCUCAACCCCGGGACUGCAUUGGAAACUGUGGGACUUGAGUGUCGGAGGGGCAAGUGGAAUUCCUAGUGUAGCGGUGAAAUGCGUAGAUAUUAGGAGGAACACCAGUGGCGAAGGCGGCUUGCUGGACGACAACUGACGCUGAGGCUCGAAAGCGUGGGGAGCAAACAGGAUUAGAUACCCUGGUAGU
rnacentral:rRNA from 1 species